AACGUAGGGGGCCAGCGUUGCUCGGAAUUACUGGGCGUAAAGCGUGCGCAGGCGGUUUUGUAAGUCUGUCGUGAAAUCCCCGGGCUUAACCUGGGAAUGGCGAUGGAGACUGCAAGGCUAGAGUUUGGCAGAGGGGGGUAGAAUUCCACGUGUAGCAGUGAAAUGCGUAGAGAUGUGGAGGAACACCGAUGGCGAAGGCAGCCCCCUGGGUCAAAACUGACGCUCAUGCACGAAAGCGUGGGGAGCAAACAGG
rnacentral:rRNA from 1 species